rnacentral:rRNA from 1 species
GAUGAACGCUGGCGGCGUGCCUAAUACAUGCAAGUCGAGCGAACAGACGAGGAGCUUGCUCCUCUGACGUUAGCGGCGGACGGGUGAGUAACACGUGGAUAACCUACCUAUAAGACUGGGAUAACUUCGGGAAACCGGAGCUAAUACCGGAUAAUAUAUUGAACCGCAUGGUUCAAUAGUGAAAGACGGUUUUGCUGUCACUUAUAGAUGGAUCCGCGCCGCAUUAGAUAGUUGGUAAGGUAACGGCUUACCAAGGCAACGAUGCGUAGCCGACCUGAGAGGGUGAUCGGCCACACUGGAACUGAGACACGGUCCAGACUCCUACGGGAGGCAGCAGUAGGGAAUCUUCCGCAAUGGGCGAAAGCCUGACGGAGCAACGCCGCGUGAGUGAUGAAGGCCUUCGGAUCGUAAAACUCUGUUAUUAGGGAAGAACAAAUGUGUAAGUAACUAUGCACGUCUUGACGGUACCUAAUCAGAAAGCCACGGCUAACUACGUG